AAGUCGUAACAAGGUCUCCGUUGGUGAACCAGCGGAGGGAUCAUUACAGUGAGCUUGUCUCCCUGAAACCCCUGUGAACCUACCGAAACGUUGCCUCGGCGGGUGCUCGGCCUAGCGCCGGGCGCUCUCCCGCCGGUGGCCCCCUACUCUGUAUCUGCAGCGUGGCAUCUCUGAGUAUACCAAAACAAGUCAAAACUUUCAACAACGGAUCUCUUGGCUCUA
rnacentral:misc_RNA from 1 species